CUUUUCCUGCUCGGUGCGUGAUGGGCUCUUUUAAACCCACAUUUUUGAAACGGGACGCCCACCUCACGGCGCGGCUUGCAGGCCUCCCGGCCCCCUUAUGAGGUCAGCUGGACGUUGGAAGCAGAUAAACGCUGUGGAGGCGACCCACCUGCCAUUACGUGCAGGUUUUAAACGGGUCCACACGGCCAGAGCGGGGUUAAA
rfam:Firmicutes bacterium ASF500 genomic scaffold adhIg-supercont1.1, whole genome shotgun sequence.